UUUGCUCUCCAGGUUAUGCCAAGACAGAAGGAGGGACUUGGAGAGGGAAGAUUAACCUUUCGCUGGCCACGAUUCCUUUCCCUCUUAUCGCGGAGGCUUCGGCAGCGCGCCCCCCUCCCAGCCAGCCUAUCUGUCUGAAUUGCUGAAAGCAUAAUGCUCCCAUAUGAGAGAUAAAAGUCUGAUGCCACUGAAGCCACAAAUGUGGAGAGAGCGGGAAUGGCAGCAACGUGGGACUUUCCCUCUACAGUACACCGCAGUCGCCUUCCAGUUGGGCUGGUUUGUGGGAAAUCAGGGAAGAGAGAUGUGGACUGUGCAUAACAGCACUCUGCAGUGGGAGAAGUGAGAGAAACUAAGCUACAUCCUGCAAGACUGGAGAUGGAGAGGAGGAAGUUUGAGCCUUCUCAGUGAACUUAAGCUUUUCUGCCACGGGGGAACUGGUGGAAAAGGGUUAGGAAAAUCAUCAGUUCAGAAAAUAUUCCUCCAGGUGUGAAGUCUGAUGUCAGUCAGCUUCAGAGAAACAGCACCAGCUGAGCUGAGGACCUGCAAGCAAGUGUCAGGGACCUUGAUAAUGAGACAUCACAGCCUGUUCUUGUCUUGUCGGUGAGACCAUCCAGUCCCUCUUGUCGUGUAAUUUGUGGUGGCUUUACAGACUUUGAAGCCAAUCUAAAUGACAAACCCCAAGCCUUUGGAUGCUGCUCGGCCAGGACAAACCCCAAAGCAUGGUAUGUUUGACAGUUACUUGUCUAUACAGCAGCUUUGUUACACACUGCUGAGAUGCACAAAAUCCUCUGUAGAAGGAUCAGACUGGCUACUUCCAUUUGAUUCUGUAAAGUGCUUUAUGACCAUUCUGUGAAUGUAACAGCACAAGUAAAAAUAUCUCUGUUUUAUUAAGAGUUUCAGUUAAAGUGUUCAAUACACAGAUUUUAUCGUGAGAGAGUAUCACAAAGACUGAGUACAACAUAAUGGCAAGCCAGGUAUUGUUAUGAUUAUCAUUACUACUAUUUAUAUAUGAUCACUGAAGUACUAAGUGAAAACUGGGAAAUGGAGUUCCUGAGUCCCACAGAGCUCAUAGUAACAGCUGUUUUUGGAGGAUGCAACAAUAGCAGACCAGCUCUGCUUCAUGGAACAAUUAAUGGUGCAUACAGCCCAGUCUGGAAAUCUCUGAUCCCGAAUGGGUUUUCCCAUUUUCAAAAAUCAAAGAAGGUAGAAUUUCAGUUGGAUCCUGCCUUUUUUUAUUCUGGUGCCUCUUACUCUUCCCAUUGCCUUUUUUCUCUGCCUGUUGGUGUGAAGGGCACCCCUGCACAUUAGAACUGUGAUGUGUCUGUUUAUCCAGCAAAGCAGCUGGGAACUCCUCAUCCAAGUGGUAUCUGAAUGCUUUUGCAGGGGAGAGAUAUUCUGCCUUCCUCACUCGUCCUUCCCAUUGGAGAUUUUUAAGUGUCUUGGCCUCCUAAAAGCUAAAGUGGAGCUUUUGAUUGAGAUUUAAACCGAAUGUAAAUCUUUGAAAAGCAGAAAGCCCAAGAGGGGCUGUAUCACCAGAGCAGUGAAUGGGCUGAGCUGAGCAGGGCAGAGGCAGGACUGGCCCAAAAUCCUGUCCUUACACCAAAGAGCCGUGACCUUGUGUAACACUCAGAGCUCUGUUUGGCUUUGGCUGUUCCCUAAUCCUGACCCUUGACCAACACCUGAAGGCUACAGGGAAGUUUUUCUCCAUCCUUAUCUUGAAUGUCAUUCCCUGGCAGAUUCCAGCUGCUGAGCUCAACACCCUGGAAAAAAAAAGAAGCUGGGGAGUUGUUUUCCACUAGGAUUUAUAUAGAUGGGAUGCUUGGAAGUUAAAUCUUCCAACCACCACAGUGCACCAUAGUGUAAGACAAAGAGCAGGAGAUAAAUUUUCCUGCCUUUGAAAUUCCUGCUCAUGUCACUCUCUGAGCAAAUUUUUACUAUUUUGACACUGGUGAGAAGAGCUAUUCCAAUGUGAGCCUCUUUCUCUGCACUGCAGUGCAGGAUGAAGCUAAGGAUGAGCAAUUGGAGCGCUGUCAGGAUUACACCCAGGUCAGAUUUUUCAUUCUGCUAAAAGACGCUUUUUUGACAUGGGAAUCAGGAAAAUACAUUGAUGCAAUGUGUUGAAAAGGACCAAAAGGUUGUUAUUUGCUCCCACCAAUACAGAGAGACACAACCCUCCUGUAAAGCAAAAAUAUUUUCCAGUGAAAACACAAACUUUGACACUGAGUGCAACAUAAUGGGAGGGCCCAAGAGGGGCUUUGGGGAGCUCCUCAGGGAGAGGGGGUUUUUCCAUGGGCUUUUUUGCUCCUGUCUGUAGGGUGAGCUCACAAAUGUUUGGGUAGAGAAGGCAGCACACAUCCAGAUUUUAAAAGAAAUAAAAUAAAAGGGAUUGGCUAUUUUUCCUUCUCAUGGAUGAGGUUACGAGGUUAAUAAAAGAGUUAAUCCCAGCCUGCUCUGCAAAAGGGAACAGCUCACAUUUGUGAGACUUCAAAAGGCUUCAGAGUGUCUGUGUAUGGAUGUUGUUAUUUCCUGUCAGGGCUAUCCCAAGACGGUGGGGGCUGGGAGCUGAUUUUUGGAAGAAGAGUUUGGCCUUUAACUAAAUCAGUUGGAGUGGAAAUAAAAAGGUUAGUAUAAAAUUAUUUUGAGAGUAAACUCCAAUUCAAUAAAAUUCUGUGUAUUUUUUUUCCCUGUGAAAAUCUAAAAUUAAAACUUACUACACAGCAGUGGAGGCUGACCAGAGCAUUUCAACCAGAUGGCCUAGAGGAUCUGCUUGGGUUUUUCUUGUUUGGUUUUUUUUUUUUUAAAUCAUUACAUGACUUUAAUUUUAUAAUAAGUUAUUGGUUUCAAAGGAAAAAAAAGAGUAAAUUUAGGAAACAGUCAUCAAAUUAAAACAAAAAGAAAAAAAAAGUGAAGUAUAGUAGGGUGAAGAAUAUUGUCAUUUUACUGAAUGGUUUGGUGGAAACAGAGAGGACCUGGAGAGCAUUCUGCCUGACAAACAAUCUCGUAUUCAGGCAGGGGAAGUGUGCCCAGGCUCUCUGGCUGAGUCUUUAGUCAGCAGACAAACACGUUACCGGGGUGCUGCUGCCCUUUUUUAGAAGCGCGGUUUUUGGCGCUUGCGGUUUUCAGGGAUUCACUCCUGCUCCACGGUGCAGCUGGGAUGGCAGCAGGCCAGGCCACAGAGUGAUGGUUACAGAACAGGCUCUUCUCCUUGGGGCUGUCCUCAGUGGUGCAGGACACACCUGAGCUCCAGCCCUGUGCCUGUGCAGGGGCGCUGGGACUGCCCAGGCAGCUCCGCCUCGGGCCCAGCUGAUCCAGCACCAGGCAGUGAUUUACAAGGAGAGCUGUGUGUCCAUUUGCUUCCCAGCAUUGAGGGAAUGAUUACUGCAUGGCAUAGAAAAUUACCUCAGGCCUCGUCAGGCUUUUCUGGAGAAAUAAAUAAGCCUGGGUUCCUUAUACUUUCCCUGGCUUGGUGUCCCCCUGCACAGCUGAGAGUCCGUGCUCAGACACGGAGUAAAUGUUAUAGUCAAUAUCCCUCAGCAGAGAAACUGCACUGCAAUUUCUUUUUUUCUACCUUUUUUCCUCUUGCACGAGGCUCCUGUGCUACCAGCUAACCAUUUCCUAUAAGAAAAUGGCAUUGUGUUAAAGUUAUAUAGUGUAUCAUAUUAAAUUUUAUAACGGUGCUUUGUGUUUUGAAAAGACUUUGGGGGGAAACAGCAUCAAUCAGGGAACCACAUUUGAUAGACUUGGAAGGGGCCUCCUGGGUCAUUUUGUCCAAGACCUCUAUGAAGCAGGAAAGCUUCUGCAAAAUACCUUUCCCAUAAAUGUAUCUAACCUUUCCUUAAAGACACUGAGUGAUGGUGCCAUAAAUACCUCAAG